rnacentral:rRNA from 1 species
AUGAACGCUGGCGGCGUGCCUAAUACAUGCAAGUCGAGCGAACGGACGAGAAGCUUGCUUCUCUGAUGUUAGCGGCGGACGGGUGAGUAACACGUGGAUAACCUACCUAUAAGACUGGGAUAACUUCGGGAAACCGGAGCUAAUACCGGAUGAUAUUUUGAACCGCAUGGUUCAAAAGUGAAAGACGGUCUUGCUGUCACUUAUAGAUGGAUCCGCGCUGCAUUAGCUAGUUGGUAAGGUAACGGCUUACCAAGGCAACGAUGCAUAGCCGACCUGAGAGGGUGAUCGGCCACACUGGAACUGAGACACGGUCCAGACUCCUACGGGAGGCAGCAGUAGGGAAUCUUCCGCAAUGGGCGAAAGCCUGACGGAGCAACGCCGCGUGAGUGAUGAAGGUCUUCGGAUCGUAAAACUCUGUUAUUAGGGAAGAACAUAUGUGUAAGUAACUGUGCACAUCUUGACGGUACCUAAUCAGAAAGCCUCGGCUAACUACGUG